rnacentral:rRNA from 1 species
AACGAACGCUGGCGGCAGGCUUAACACAUGCAAGUCGAGCGCCCCGCAAGGGGAGCGGCGGACGGGUGAGUAACGCGUGGGAAUAUGCCUCAAGGUAAGGAAUAACUGAGGGAAACUUCAGCUAAUACCUUAUGUGCCCGGAGACGAGGAAAGAUUUAUCGCCUUGGGAGUAGCCCGCGUCGGAUUAGCUAGUUGGUGGGGUAACGGCCUACCAAGGCUUCGAUCCGUAGCUGGUCUGAGAGGACGAUCAGCCACACUGGGACUGAGACACGGCCCAGACUCCUACGGGAGGCAGCAGUGGGGAAUCUUGCGCAAUGGGGGCAACCCUGACGCAGCCAUGCCGCGUGAAUGAUGAAGGCCUUAGGGUUGUAAAGUUCUUUUACCCGUGACGAUGAUGACGGUAACGGGGGAAUAAGCUCCGGCUAACUUCGUGCCAGCAGCCGCGGUAACAC